AGACCAGCACCUCAAGUGGUCAGGAGGAUUAUUGGGCCUAAAGCAUCCGUAGCCUGUUCUAUAAGUUUUCGGUUAAAUCCAUUAGCUCAACUAAUGGGCCGCCGAAAAUACUGUAGAACUAGGGAGUGGGAGAGGUAGACGGUAUUCGGUAGGAAGGGGUAAAAUCCUUUGAUCUAUUGAGGACCACCUGUGGCGAAGGCGGUCUACCAGAACACGUUCGACGGUGAGGGAUGAAAGCUGGGGGAGCAAACCGGAUUAGAAACCCGGGUAGUCC
rnacentral:rRNA from 1 species